AUAUGAGGGGACGCAGAAGGGUAAGUGGACCCAGGCGUUGGUUGUCCUGGGGUAAGCGUGUAGGGCGAGGUCUAGGGAAAUCCGGACCUCACGAAGCCUGAGACGUGAUACCGAGCCGUAUGGCAGAAGCCACCGAUCCCAUGCUGCCAAGAAAAGCCUCUAGCGAGUUCACACAGCGCCCGUACCCGAAACCAACACAGGUGGGCAGGUAGAGAAUACCAAGGCGAUUGGGAGAACUGCGGUUAAGGAACUCGGCAAAUUGCAUCCGUAACUUCGGGAUAAGGAUGACCCCGGUAGGGUGAAGGGACUUGCUCCCUGAGCUCGAUGGGGUGGCACAAAAGAGAGGGAAGCGACUGUUUACCAAAAACACAGCAGCGUGCGAAGCCGUAAGGCGAUGUAUACGCUGUGACGCCUGCCCGGUGCUGGAAGGUUACGGGGAAGGGUUAGCCGCAAGGCGAAGCUCUGAACCUAAGCCCCAGUAAACGGCGGCCGUAACUAUAACGGUCCUAAGGUAGCGAAAUUCCUUGUCGGGUAAGUUCCGACCUGCACGAAUGGCGUAACGACUUCCCUACUGUCUCAACCGCAGACCCAGCGAAAUUGAAGUACGAGUAAAGAUGCUCGUUAACUGCAGAAGGACGGAAAGACCCCGUGGACCUUUACUAUAACUUGAUGUUGGUUUUUAGCAUCUGUUGUGUAGGAUAGGUGGGAGACUGUGAACCGGCGGCGCCAGCUGUCGGGGAGUCAUCGUUGAAAUACCACCCUGCAUAUGCCGGGAAUCUAACCACGACCCGUUAUCCGGGUUUGGGACAGCGUCAGGCGGGUAGUUUGACUGGGGCGGUCGCCUCCUAAAUCGUAACGGAGGCGCCCAAAGGUUCCCUCAGCCUGGUUGGCAAUCAGGCGUCGAGUGCAAUGGCACAAGGGAGCUUGACUGCGAGACUGACACGUCGAGCAGGUGCGAAAGCAGGGCAUAGUGAUCCGGCGGUUGCGUGUGGAAGCGCCGUCGCUCAACGGAUAAAAGGUACCCCGGGGAUAACAGGCUAAUCUUGCCCAAGAGUCCAUAUCGACGGCAAGGUUUGGCACCUCGAUGUCGGCUCAUCGCAUCCUGGGGCUGAAGCAGGUCCCAAGGGUUGGGCUGUUCGCCCAUUAAAGCGGUACGCGAGCUGGGUUCAGAACGUCGUGAGACAGUUCGGUCCCUAUCCUCUGCAGUCGGAGCUAGAUUGAGGAAGGCUGUCCCUAGUACGAGAGGACCGGGACGGACGCAGCUCUCGUGUGCCAGUUGUCCUGCCAAGGGCAUUGCUGGUUAGCGACCUGCGGAAGGGAUAACCGCUGAAAGCAUCUAAGUGGGAAGCCCGUUCCAAGAUGAGUCUAGCCACCGGGUUAACCGGGUAAGGCCCGUGGGAGACCACCACGUUGAUAGGCCGGAAGUGUACGCACGGCAACGUGCUCAGCUGACCGGUACUAAUCGGCCGAGGGCUUGGAUCA
rnacentral:rRNA from 1 species